CCUCCAAAAUCCCCAGCUAUUCCCUGAGUGUCAGAGGGCCAUGCAGUUAUGGGAUUGCAUCUCCUAUAAAUGAUCAGAUGGUGUCCAGCUGGCCUUGCAAAGAACAUCAGAAUUUUCCGCUCCAGAGGGGAAGGUGUGGUAUUAUUUAACCUGAGACCUAUAGGUUCUGAAAAAGUUUGGACCUGUUGCUCAAAACCAAAAAUGUUUUGCAAGAAUACUGGUUUUGUCAUUGCAGGAAAUCUUGCAAUUCAAAGGAAUCUGUCAAACAAUCAAAGUAAUCUAUUUUCUAAUAAUGCAGCCUACAACUAAAUCUCCAAGACUUCAGCUGAUGGAACACAGAGGAACCAUAGCUCAUGAUUAGUCUUGGUGGUUAUGGGAAAUACUUUUCAAAGGAGGGAAGAACUGUUACUCCUCAAGACUCUUUUUCCACACUCAGUAAUUAAUCUUCCAAAGAUAUCCCACUCUCAUCUUCCUGCCCUUUUCCUGAGGUUCUUUUCUGCAAGAGGAUUUGGGCACAUAUUCUGGAUCUCUGCUCAAAUUCCCCAAUGGGCCCAGCCUCAGAUUCUCCAUAAAAAAAAGCCAACCUCUUGGAACCACUUCUAAACAGGUUUUCAAAAGUUCAUUACGUAAGUUAUAAUCUAUCUCACAUUACUCUAACCUCGUGAUGCAAAUGUCAGCAUGCUAAUGGAUAGGUCAUGUCCAACCUUCUCCUUCAUCAUAUGGCAAGAAGGGACUUACACAAUCAUUCACUUUAAACAUUUCUGCUACAGCUGAAGCAACCAGAAGACUAACGUGUCUAUUUAUAGUAUUUCUAAUUAUGUGUGUAUUAAAUAGCAGUGGCACUUAAUAUGUGUUUUAGAAUAACUUCCUUUUCCACUGACAGGUUUUUUUCCAAGCUGUCUCCAAUUAUCUCAAGAGGCUGGGCUCAACAUACUAACAUACCACUCACACAUAUGCUUGGGACAGUCUCAGAAUAGUAAUGUCACUCUGCCUAGAGACUGGCAACUUUAGAAGAGAUGUUCAGAUACCACCUCAGGUAACCUAGAGAAGUCACGAACACAUGCAAUGUAAAUUCAGCAUGAUUUCUGCUUCUCUUUUUUCCGAGUUAUUCCACUGUAGGAAACCUACAGUGCUUUGCUCACUAUUACUCCUUCUGUUAGCAGUCCUUCAAACUUUCAAAAUAAGAUUUUGACAUUCACUUCUAUGAUUCCAUUCAGACUGUCACAAAAUUCUGUGGAAUUCUGUGAAUCGGUUCUUGAUUUUUUAAACAUCAUCUUACAGACCAAUAUGAAAGAUUUUUUGACAUAAGCAUUAAAAUCCAGACUGAGUUUUGGUAUGAGAGCAAGGAAAUGUGGGAACAAAAGCUGUUUCAAAAUGGUGGUAGGAGGAGAUUAAAAAACAAAAAUCUCCUUUGCAGAGGCAGUAUUUAAAAGGCCCAAUGUACCACUUUUUAUUUAAAUUUAUUAUCAGAAAUUACAUAUCCAGAAUAAACUAGAAAUUGCACAAAGUGUGUCAAAUAUUGUCAUAUUAAGUAACUAUUAUAUUAAUUGAUUUAAAUGGGGUUAUAAAAUACAACUGAUCCUAUGAAUCCAAUAUUCCUUUUUACAUAUUUUGAAAAUCUUUCAGCAUCAACAGUGGUACUGUUGUUGCCGUUUGACCUCUUCCAGAAAGAAAUUAUAGGAAGCUAAUUUUGCUCUGAAAAACUGAGGACAUAAGAAAGCAGAGAAAGAAGGUGCAACCUUCCACUUCAUAGUCAGCAGUAGCAAAAAUAAUUUAGUUCAUAUUUAACUACUUGAUAGCUCUACCUUUGAACGUUAUGGUCACCUUGUUGGAACAGAGGAUUCCUUUCAUAGCACUAAAGUGGAAAAAUGUGCAUUUACAUUUUGAAUCCUAAGAAAGGCUCUCAGUGUUUUCCUAAGGAAACGCUUUUUGACGGCAUCAUUCUUCAUGUUGUUUCAUUAUUUCAGAUAGACUUGUUCCCACUGUGCAAAAGACUCCUCAGCAUCUGGUAAAGUUAUUUUCCUAUUUUCGUGGAAACAGGCCAAGAUGUGCAGUAACAGCUAGUAUCUCUGUAAUAAUGAAGUAACUCUUUCCUGGAAAGUUAGAAGUUUAAAAUUAUUUUUAAAUAAAUAUCUAAAAAGCAAUAUUACAAUGUAAAAAACACAGUUCAUUGCAUUACUCCCUUAAAAGAAAAUACUAGAAAUAUGUGUGUGGAAGGAAAUAUUAUUAUGCAGCAUAUUAUUAUUUAGUAGAGAGAAAGUCAUUGUACAUACUUACCCCUGUUCUGCUAGUCCAUAUGGUUACAUCUACACUGUGCCACAAGUAGAGGUCUGGGUCCAUGAUCAUUUACAGGCCUGCCUUGCACAUUUUUUUAGCAUGAACAGCUGAGAAAACUUGGUGUUAUUUCAGGGAUCACAUUCAAAGCAGGGAAAUCAGGUUUAUGCCAUCCCUUCAUGAGGACCUUUGUUCGCAAUUCUAGGUGUGGACGGGGCAGGUGUGCUGUGCCAUGCCGUGCCCUGCUGUCUCUCUGGAUUUCACAGAGAUGCCACAUACUUGUAGGGUCCCUCCAAUGAGGCCCCUGUUGUGAGGGGUAAGCAGAACCCCUGGGCAGCCUAAAGCAAGGCUGCUUGUGGGGUUGCACCCAUCCCGGCAGCUGAGCAGGGUCAGUGCAGCACACGCUUGCUGACCACUGUAACAGCACUGUGGAUGUGAUUUAUAUCAGCAUGAACUGUAGACAAGAUGCCAAGUAGAUGUGACAAGAAAUAAGCAGGAAAAGUGGGAAUGUGGGAAAACCUUUUCACUUCUCCAUCAUUAUUGUCCACCAAAAGCUAAUGGGAGAGAGAGGAACGAAAACCAGAUCUCCCAUAUCUCUGCUCCAUGAGACCUCUCCUGUUUCUCUCUCUUGUUUUUUUAUCACAUUGAGGGCGGAUUUGUUGAUUUUAAAAUAUCUUUAGGACUACUGCAGAUAAGCUGAAGCUAACAGACUAUACUCAAGUAUUUUGCUUGAACUCUAGACCUUACUCUGGCACAUCUUCCUUUUAUUGUAUUACUGUCUCCUCUCUUACCAUAAAAAGAAUGAAAAUGUACACUAACCAUUUUAAUUGGUUUACUGGGCUCAUGAUGACUUUGACAACUGAUGUAUGUUUGAUAACUACAUGGCACUCAUUUAUUAAUGUUUUGGUCAACAUUUCUCCACAUUUCAUUCCAGGAAAUCCUUCUAUUCAAUCCAGUCUCCAGAGGUGGAUAAGCUGGGUGUGGGUACAGCUUGCUGAUAUUACCAAGAUUUUGCUUAUGCUGAAAACUGAUGAUCUGGGAGAAAACUCUUCUAAGAAUACUAAAAAUAUCGCUUAUCUUGUGCUUUUUACCUGCUUGAUAUUCUUGCUUCUCUAUCUGCUUUGGUCUUUUUCCCUUUUCCUCUCUCUACAUGUACACAUAAAUGCACAAACACCACUACCUCCACUUGGAACAUUCCCUCGUCUCAUCUCGUCUCAUCUCAUCUCAUCUCAUCUCAUCUCAUCUCAUCUCAUCUCAUCUCAUCUCAUCUCACCUCAUCAUCUCAUCUCUCCUUCGUUCUGCCUUCAACAAUCCAGUAUUUAACUCCUGGAAUCUCACCUGACUUCACUCUGCCCAUGUCCUAAGCUUAGUACCUACCUGGCACUAUCUCCCAUGAAGGCCGGUGCCUCUCUCUGGAUGGGUACACAGAGGGGUGAAGAGCUGUCAGAAUGCAGAAAGAAAACCCUUGCACACCACAUAGAUUUUAGGCAUAGCUGAAGCAGUCUAGACAGUAGUGCCCGCCCAGCAUUCAGAUGGAAGAACAGGGAGGGAUCAUUUCAGGGGAUCAUGGUGAGAUUUUUUUCUCAUAAAACCCAUGUCAAGAAACGCUAGAAAUGAAGGAAAAAGCUAUCCAUACACAUAUCCCAGUGUAUAUAAUGGUCAAAUACACACUGUCUCUAGACUAGAAUUUUUUUUCUGUGGUAAGAAGACUAGGGCGAAGUGAGAUCUUGUAAAAAUGUUCACCUUGAAUUUAACAUGGACAGUGUUUUACGAAUCUCAAGCAACAGGAAAAGUUGUUUUGUUUUGUUUGGGGUUUUUUUUCACCUAUUUUCACUCACAGUGCUAGCCAGGAACAGAAAACAUGAUCAGAAAGGACAAAACAAACUAGGAAGUUUUAAUUUUCCCAUAGGUUAUGGUGUAUUUUUUCACAACAAAGGAUUCCCAUUUCUCUCCCACUACAGGAAAUCACUGAUUUACAAACAUUCACCAUGGGACUGGUGGGAACAUGGAGCACAGGGAACUGUACUUCCAUUUAAAAAGCAGACCCCGUUUUUGGACUGUACUGAGUAAGCAGUGUUCUGCUGAUACUGCAAAACAAACAAACUACCUAACUUCCUGCUACAUUCUGCACUGACUAAAAAUCUCUUCCAAGGCUCAUGUCUGUGUAACUCUUAGAGGCGUUUAAAAAUUAUUGGGAGACGGAAUGGUUGUUGUUUUGGGGGAGGGUUUUAAUUAAAAAUUUUUGUAAUUCAUAAAUGUUAAAAGUCCUUUGUGUUGCUGGAUAGUUGCCAGAUAUGAAAUCUUUAACCCUGCUGAAAAUUUCAUGUAGUGAUGUCUUGAGAGUAAUUAGGAACAAUAAGAAUCAUGCUUAAUGGAGGGCAAAGAGAAUUUUCUGUGAAGGCUGAUAUUUGCAAGUUUCAUUUUCAUUGAAUGAAAUUUUUCAUUUGACAAACUUCAAAUAAAGGAGCAGCAAUCUAAGAGUUUAGUAAAAAGAAAUCAUGAAUCAUGCAGUGAUUAAUACAUGUAGUCCUUGCAUAUUACCUACCUGUUGCAUCUUCUUUCUGAGACACUUUGAUGAAAGGUUAUAUUGUGCCCUUUAAAGAAGACACCAAAGGCAGCAUGGCUGAGUUUAGAGCUAAUAACCUCCAAAGGGUUACCAGGUAAGCAGCAACAUACUAUCUGGUUUUGAACAUCUGGAUUCACAUGAGAAAACUUGUAGAGGAGCCUAAACAUUAGUUUGAUUAGAUAUCUGGUUACGACUUCAUAUGGCUCCAACCUGCUGGGAGAUUUCCCUUCCAAAAGCCUCACAUUCCUGCAGUAUCGCAACAAAUGACGCCAUCUUGAAAUCACUAAGAGUGAAAGUACUGUCCAGCAGUACAUUCAUGAUAUGUUGAUAAAGCAGUUUAAACUACAGCACAUGUAUUCUAUCUAAUAAAUUUGAACUGAUGAAGUAAAAUCCAUACAAUCUAGUGCAAAGAAUUUCUGCAGGAACAUGCAGUGACUUAAUAUGUGUGCACAUGUGUGCAGAUCUAAGGAUAUUCCUAAGUCCUUGCAGUAACCCAUUAUAAAUGGAAGGAACAGAGAUGUAGCAGAAUGGACUGAAGAAAAAAGAAUGCAAAACAGCAAGUAAAAAUGGCUUUGUGGGGCAGAUACAACAGACAAUUUAGGUUCUUAGCAUACACCUAGGAUUUAAACGGUGAUUAUGCAUUUAAAUCUGAUUCCCAGACACCCUCCGCUCUUCAUUCUUUCCCUUAGAGUCCUCUGCAUUCUUCUAAGGGUGAUGAGAAUUUUCCAAGUGACAAUGAACUGGAUAAUUUGAUGCCUAGAUCAAUUUCAGCAUCCAGAAGACAUAUUUCUGCUAAAAUAUGUGAGGUGGCCAGUCUGAUUGGUAUUCUCAAACCAUUCAUGAAACUCUCCUGGAGCACUGGGGUCUCUACAAAUGUGUUAGCAAAGUUGCAUUCUGCUCAGAGAGAGGACCUGCAGAGGAGCUUCUGUCUGUACACUCUCUCCACAUUAUACCCUAAAGGUCAGUAGACUUACAUAUUGCCUUCUAUUCAGGACCAUGCUAACUACCAUGUGAGACCACUGCUGUAUUUUGCUAAAUAAUUUUUCUAUGUGAAACACAAGAGUGAUACUCAGAACAGACCCUAGAGACCAUGAGUUUUUGCUCUUAGAGAAACACAAGUAGCAAACUACAAAAGAUUGCUGAUUCUUCAUAGAUUUUCUUCCUGACUCAAUGUUUCUUGAAAUUUUUCCUGCACACUUUCAAUAAAUGCAAUGAAAAAUAUCCUCCUUUACUUUUCUUUAGUCUCUGAAUUGAAUUUUAUUACAGGUGGUGAAAGUAAUUCAUAUAAAAGCCUUUAAGCAGAGCAAAUCACUAACCAAAGUUCCUAUAUUGUUCUUCCUAUACAAAUGCUCUAAGCAGUAACCUAUACUACAAAAGACAGGCAUCACCAGCUGUGCUUCUGGCCAUAUCUUAAAAAAUAGCCAAGUCCUGCCCAGGUGUUUUUUAAAGCAAGAGUUUAGAGUUGUGCUCUGAGAAUUGCACCUCCAUAGAAUAAGGAGAUCCUUCUGAAAGCCCAGAGUAGAUUAUGCCUGGGCUCCAGAAAGGGGAAACAUUCAGAAAGCUGUCUACUCUCAGCAGUUCCUUUUUUAGCAUUCCUACCACUUUGCUAGUUUCAGGCAGCAGCCUGUUGAUUUUAGGCAAUCACAUUCUUAAAGUAUUCCAGGUUUUGAAUUUUGUUUUGGUGCACUCCAUUGCCAGAAACACUGAAGAGGGACACAUGAUGCUAGUUCAGUG